rnacentral:lncRNA from 1 species
CUAUUUCUUGGGCCGCUCCCGCGGCAUAUGGAGGUUCCCAGGCUAAGGGUUGAAUCAGAGCUGUAGCCACCGGCCUACGCCAGAGCCACAGCAACGCGGGAUCCGAGCCACGUCUGCAACCUACACCACAGCUCAUGGCAACGCCGGAUCGUUAACCCACUGAGCAAGGGCAGGGACCGAACCCGCAACCUCAUGGUUCCUAGUCGGAUUCGUUAACCACUGUGCCACGACGGGAACUCCCUGUUAAUAUUUCUUUAUCCCUGGAUUAUUCUUUUAUCUCCAUAAAGUUAAGAAUUAAAAAAAUAUUUUAAAUUCUGCUUUCAUGAUUAAAAUAUAUAUGAAAAUAUAAAAGCACAAAGGCACAUGAAGAAAUAACUUAAACAUGAUUGUUUAAAAAUUAUUACAUCUAGGGUUUCCCAUUGUGGCUCAGUGGUAACAAAUCUUACCAGUAUCCAUGAGGAUGCGGGUUCAAUCCCUGGCCUUGCUCAGUGGGUUAAGGAUCUGGCAUCGCUGUGAGCUACAGUGUAGGUGGUAGACACUGCUUAGAUAUGGCAUUGUUAUGGCUGUGGUGUAGACUGGUGGCUACAGCUCCAAUUUGACCCCUAACUUGAGAACUUCCAUAUGCCAUGCGUGCCUGCAUUUACAUCAGGAAAAUAUUUGUAAUAGUAUAUAGUUAAUCUUAUUUUUAAUCUUAUUUUUUUCCAUCUACAUAGUAAACAAGGUAAUACAGUGGAACUAGAUGUAGUUCCAGUAUAAAUAUAUCCUCAUCUAAAAGUAGCUUUAGGAUACAUGUUUUGAAUUAAACUGGUAAUCUUGUUUUUAUGUCUGAAGCAAACUGCUUCCAUAUUAGCCUUGUAAGCAAUAUAAAGACUCCAGUACAACCGUUAAGUUAACCUCAGGAAUGCUUAUUUGAAAAAAAAAAUAUUUUCAUUAAAUGCUCUAUUUUUGCCAACAAAUGUGCACCAGCUUAUUUCCUUAUGGAGCAUCUGUCCUUUUCAAAUCUCUUUUGGUUCCUUGACCAAAUCAAGGACAUCUUGGCCCCAGAGCAGCACACAGCUGUGUUUAUAGGUGUUGUUGACAAGAAAAAAUGCAUCCUGUGCACAAGGAUUGAAACAGAGUUGUUAUAUAAAGAGAAUAUAGGACACAUGAUGAAUUUUAGUACCAAGAAAUUUCAUUUAACCAUUUUCUACUUCAGGAUAUAUAUAGUAGCCUUACAAUAUUAAAGAAAAUUAUUUAGAAAGUACUUUUCAAAUGCCUAUAUAUGCUUUUAAUUUGGAUAAUGUUACUGAAAAAAGUUAACAUCGUCUGAAAAGUAUUGACUAUAGAAUGGGUGAAGAAUUGAAUUCCAAAAGGAAAUAUAAGGAAAGAAUAAAAUCAGGCUGUUAUAUUAAAGAAAUUAUUGGAGUACUGAAAAUAAUUAUGCCAACAUUUGUAAGGAAGGUAGAUUACACACACACACACAGCAAACGUUUUUGUUAAUUUAUUGUACCAGAUAGAUAUAAGGAAAUGAAGAUACAAAUGAUAUAUUUGCCCCAAAGGAUUAAUGACAAUUCUCCUAGAUUUAAAAAACAAUUAAUUAAACAUCAAAAAAAUUUGGAAAAAGGAACGUUAAGCAUACAGCUGAAAUAAAAAUGGUGAUGGAAAUGAUACAGUGUUGAGCAUAGUAAUUCAACUUGAAAUUGAGGUGGGAGAGUGAGGGAGAACGAGCUGAGAUUAACAAAAAUGAAAGUGGGAUUUCAAAUGCUCUUUAAAAUUAUGUGUUAUUUUGAUACACAGUUGAUGGACAAUGUAAACUGGUACAUUUUUGGAGAUGAACCGGGCAAUAGGUAACAGGUAUGAGAGAUGUAAAACUGACCAUUUUUUACUUUGCAAAAAAGAAAACCAUCAAAAUAUUUUCACAAAGUAAUUUUCUCCCUAAUAUAAUAUUUUCAUCUUUGAGAUGACAAGUAUGACUGCAGUCAUGAUUCAUCUAGAGUAUUAAAAAUAUAACCAAGCCUCCUAGCUGCCCAAGAGGGAUGCAGAGAAAAAUAAGCAUUCCUUUAAAAUUUUCUCCUUUCACUACAAUGCAUCUUUCGUCUUAAAAAAAGCUACAGAAAACCAUUACCACGCAGAACAUACUUUGUCUUUCACAGAAAAGAGAGAGUUAAGCAAAGGACUAGUUUGCCAUAGGCUAUAAGAAGGAAUGAAUAAACAGGCUUGCUGCCCUUCUCUCUUCCUUCUUAACUCUAGUUUCUUUUGAACUAUAUUGUCCCUUCUCCUCCUCAGAACAGGCUGGCCCAAAUCUAAAUUGAACUGAAUUUCUGUGUUGGAAAUGUAUGCUUAGUCAAUUGUCCAGAUAAAUUAUAUCUCCCAUGCUUUCUCUGCUCCGUCCACAGAAAAGUACUAAACCAAUACCUUUGCUACUAUCUUCCUGGAUAAAAAAAAAAAAAAAACAUGACAAGGUAAGACCUGAAAAGGAAUAAAUUCCUAAAUGGCAAUGCCACCUCUCCUGAAUUUGGAACUCACUUCGUAUUUAUUCUUUCUCUCUCUUCUAUCAAAACCAUGAUAUCAUGUAGAAACUAGCAAGUAUUAUCAAUUUUUAUCCCUCCAAAAUAUAUUUCUCAGCAUAAAGUGGGAAUAUUAUGAAAUAAAAGUGGUUGAUAAGUAGGUUUUAGAACAGAUAAUAUUUAAAUUAAGAGAACAAAAAGAAAGAAAGUAUACAGAAGAGGCAAGUUCUCUAGGGUAAAGAGUACAUAUUGCUUAUUUUUUAAAUUAAUUAGUGAUUUAAAAAAAAAAAGUAUUGUGUAACAGCUAGGUGCUGGGAACUAAAAUGGGAAAAUAUGCUUUUUGUUGUUGAAUAGGCUUGGAAGACCAGGUUAAAGAGUACCUGAAAACUAGUAAAAAGAAAUAAGGACUUAAAUAGGGAGAAUGAAGCCUUUUAAAAGUUCCUGAGAAAGAAAAAAACUAAAGUAUUAUAUUUGACAUUGUAGGUUCCUCAAACUACAGUUUAUGGGACUAAUCAGGCCUUCUCAAGCUGAGCAUUUUUAUACACUUUUAUACAGUGUUUAAAAAAGAAAAACAAUAUUUAUUGGUAUAAAAAUAUUAUGAUAUUUGGAAUUCCUGUUGUGGCUCAGUGGUAACAAACCUGACUACUCUCCAUGAGGAUGCGGGUUCAAUCCCUGGACCUGCACUGUUGUUGGUGGGAAUGUAAGCUGGUACAACCACUAUGGAGAUCAGUAUGGAGAUACCUUAGAAAUCUAUGCAUAGAACUACCAUAUGACCCGCUCUUGGGCAUAUAACUGGACAAAACUUUCCUUAAAAAAGACACAUGCACCUGCAUGUUCAUUGCAGCUCUAUUCACAAUAGCCAAGACAUGGAAACUACCCAAAUGUCCAUCAACAGAUAAUUGGAUUAGGAAGAUGUGGUAUAUAUACACAAUGGAAUACUACUCAGCUAUAAAAAAGAAUGAAAUAAUGCCAUUUGUAGCAACAUGGAUAGAACUAGAGAUUCUCAUACUGAGUGAAGUAAGUCAGAAAGAGAGAGGCAAAUACCAUAUGAUAUUAUUUAUAACUGGAAUCUAAUAUAAGGCACAAAUGAAUCUUUCCACAGAAAAGAAAAUCAUGGACUUGCAGAAUAGACUUGUGGUUGCCAAGGGGGAGGUGGAGGGAGUGGGGUAGUUGCGGAGCUUGGGAUUAAUAGAUACAAACUAUUACCUUGGAAUGGAUUAGCAAGGAGAUCCUGCUGUGCUGCGCUGAGAACUAUGUCUAGUCACUUAUGAUGGAGCAUGACAAUGUGAGAAAAUAGAAUUUGUACAUGUAUGUGUAACUGGUCACCAUGCUGUACAGUAGAAAAAAAUUGUAUUGGGGAAAUAAUUAUUUUAAAAAAAUUUUUUAAAAAGAAAAACAAUAUUUAGUGGUAUAAAAAUUAUAUGACAUUUGGAGUUCCUAUUGUGGCUCAGUGGUAACAAACCCAACUACUCUCCAAGAGAAUGUGGGUUCAAUCCCUGGACCUGCUCAGUGGGUCAAAGAUCCAUCAUCGCAUGAGCUGCAGUAUAGGUUACAGAGGUGGCUUGGAUCUGGUGGUGUUGUGGCUGUGGUAUAGGCCAGCAGCUGCAUCUCCAAUUCAAUCCCUAGCCUAGGAAUUUCCAUAUGCUACACCUGCAGCCCUAAAAAGCAAAAAAAGAAAAAGAAAAAAAGAAAGAAGGAAAAUUAUGAUAUUUAAAUUUAAAUGUUAUACAUUUCAAUAAAUAAAGGUUGUUUUGGGAGCACAUCCACAAUUAUUUGAUUAUAUUGUUUCUGGCUGUGGCUGUGCUUGUGCUACAGUAAACUUGGGUAGGUAAGUAGUUUUGGUUUGAGAUGUUUACCAAUAAGUAG